AUGUGGUACUUGCAGGUCAGACACUAUUCUGAGUUCUUCGCUGUGUUAGUUCAUUUACCCUCGCGCCCCCUGAGAGGGAGGAUCACACCCCCACCCCCUGGGGUAUUCAGUGGCAGCCACACUGAAUUCAGAGCCAGGAGGGGCUUGAGCAGUUCUGGCCUGUUAUCCACGAGCGCGAGUCUCUGCGCUCCUCUGGUUCUCUCUGUAAUACUUCCCAGUCUUCACCUGUGUCGUCAGGGCCUCAGCCUGACGCCCAGUCCUGGAAACUCUGGCUUUCUUCUUGAAGCCAGAGACCCUUACACUUCACCUAAGAAGGUGGCUGGGGUUGGCCCAGGGCCCGGUGGCAGGACAGCUAAAGCCUCUUGCACAGUCUCCCCCCACCCCCACUUUCAUGAGCCCUGGCCAGGAGGGUGACCUGCUCAGGGUUCCUUGGAGACCAAUCAGCAUGGGUGAGAUAGGCUGACCUCUGGUCCCACAGCCAGAGCCUACACCGUCCAGAGAUGAGUCCGGAGUGGUCCUCUGGCUGGCGAUUUGUGAUGCCAGGUCACAGGAGUGACCGAGUAAGAGCCAAGUUGCUGGGGACUCAGAACUGGAGGUCCUAGUUCCAACCAAUGCCACUGACGAGCUGAGUGACCCUGGGGAAAUUAGUUUAACUCUCUGGGCAUAGGUUUGCUUAUGUGUAAAAUGGAGAGAAUAAAAAUAGUGCCUGCCCAUAGGGUUGUUUGGAGCAUAAACGGCAUCAGUAGGAAUGCAUUUAACCUGUAUCAUCUUGUUUUUAUUACUUCUCUGACUUCUGUCUCUUGGUUCUGGGACUGUUCUCUGCCUGCGGAGGAGUCAGGGUUGCAUGAAGAAUACUUCACCUGAGUUUGAGGAGUUUGCAGCCACUCUCAGGGCCAGGAGAAAGUCACUGGUCUCCUCUGCAAAGAUACAAAGUUUUCAAGUGCGGGCCUGGCCAGACUUUUCCUGGCUGCUCCUGGAGAUGUUUGGAAGUGAAUGGCAGGUGUUGCGAUUGUUUUGCGAAGCACCUUGUGCAGUCCAGAAGACUCUUUACUUCCUCCAAGCCUUCCAGACCAGGGCCACGCCAGUAUGUGCAGACGGUGAUUG
rnacentral:lncRNA from 1 species